rnacentral:rRNA from 1 species
GAUGAACGCUGGCGGCGUGCCUAAUACAUGCAAGUCGAGCGAACUGACGAGGAGCUUGCUCCUCUGACGUUAGCGGCGGACGGGUGAGUAACACGUGGAUAACCUACCUAUAAGACUGGGAUAACUUCGGGAAACCGGAGCUAAUACCGGAUAAUAUAUUGAACCGCAUGGUUCAAUAGUGAAAGACGGUUUUGCUGUCACUUAUAGAUGGAUCCGCGCCGCAUUAGCUAGUUGGUAAGGUAACGGCUUACCAAGGCGACGAUGCGUAGCCGACCUGAGAGGGUGAUCGGCCACACUGGAACUGAGACACGGGCCAGACUCCUACGGGAGGGAGCAGUAGGGAAUCUUCCGCAAUGGGCGAAAGCCUGACGGAGCAACGCCGCGUGAGUGAUGAAGGUCUUCGGAUCGUAAAACUCUGUUAUUAGGGAAGAAAAAAAGUGUAAGUAAAUUUGCACAGCUUGACGGUACCUAAUCAGAAAGCCACGGCUAACUACGUG